CGUAUUUCCAUCUUAACCAAGGAAACCAGAGAUAUCCGUCCAUCUCAGCCUCCGCCACCUACAACGACGGCGGAGUUCUCCAUGUUUCAAAACGUUUUCCUUCUUCCAUCGGACUUUCUUAUUUGCCUGUAUCUUGGAUGGUCUCGUGUAUCCAAAAAGCUCUUUGGGGCCAGCUUUAUGACAAGCAUGAGUAGUCCGAAUUUAACAUGGUUAGCAUACUUGAAUGUGCACAAGAGAGAUGAAGGCGUCUCUUUAACUUCUAGUCCUCCUAAUCAUACAUGAACCUGGAAGCUCAUCAGUUAUUCUAUUUUUUAAGCAAAAAUCAGUUAUUAUAAUUUAACAUUCAAAAUAAAUAGUGUUCCUUGUCAUGCAAAUAUCACUAUCUUAAUAAAAAGCAACAUUAAGCUAAUGAACGAUCCUCACUAUCUUCAAACUUUUGGUUCUUCGGUUCUAAAUUUGAUCAACAAUGCACUAACCUUGUUCUUGG
rnacentral:lncRNA from 1 species